rnacentral:rRNA from 1 species
AGCAGCCGCGGUAAUUCCAGCUCCAAUAGCGUAUAUUAAAGUUGUUGCAGUUAAAAAGCUCGUAGUUGAAUUUCGGGGUCAGUGGGUCGGUCGUGCCAAUGGUAUGUACUGGCCCUACUGAUUCCUCCUUCUUGAAGAACUGUAAUGCCAUUAAUUUGGUGUUGCAGGGAAACAGGACUGUUACUUUGAAAAAAUUAGAGUGUUUAAAGCAGGCAAUCGCUUGAAUACAUUAGCAUGGAAUAAUGAAAUAGGACGUUCGAUCCUAUUUUGUUGGUUUCUAGGAUUGACGUAAUGAUUAAUAGGGAUAGUUGGGGGCAUUAGUAUUCAAUUGUCAGAGGUGAAAUUCUUGGAUUUAUUGAAGACUAACUACUGCGAAAGCAUUUGCCAAGGAUGUUUUCAUUAAUCAAGAACGAAAGUUAGGGGAUCGAAGACGAUCAGAUACCGUCGUAGUCUUAACCAUAAACUAUGUCGACUAGGGAUCGGAUGAUGUUAAUUUUUUAAUGACUCA